AUUGAACGCUGGCGGCAGGCUUAACACAUGCAAGUCGAACGAGUGGCGGACGGGUGAGUAAUGCUUGGGAAUCUAGCUUAUGGAGGGGGAUAACUACGGGAAACUGUAGCCAAUACCGCGUACCAUAGGAUGAGCCCAAGUUGGAGUAGGUAGUUGGUGAGGUAAAGGCUCACCAAGCCGACGAUCUCUAGCUGGUCGGAGAGGAUGACCGGCCACACGGGGACUGAGACACGGCCCAGACUCCUACGGGAGGCAGCAGUAGGGAAUAUUGCGCAAUGGGGGCAACCUGACGCAGCCAUGCCGCGUGAAUGAAGAAGGCCUUCGGUUGGUAAAGUUCUUUCGGUAGCGAGGCGUUAACUACAGAAAAAGCACCGGCUAACUCCGUGCCAGCAGCCGCGGUAAUUC
rnacentral:rRNA from 1 species